rnacentral:rRNA from 1 species
UACGGAGGGUGCGAGCGUGUCCGGAUUUAUUGGGCGUAAAGAGCGUGUAGGCGGCUUGACAGGUCUGCUGUGAAAACUCGAGGCUCAACCUCGAGAUGUCGGCGAAACCGUCUGGCUAGAGUCCGGAAGAGGAGAGUGGAAUUCCUGGUGUAGCGGUGAAUCGCAGUAUAUCGGGAGGAACACCCGCGGUGUACGACGGCCUGCUGGACCACGCUGACGCUGAGGCACGAAAGCGUGGGAG